UNUGACUUGAGUGCAGAAGGGGAGAGUGGAAUNCCAUGUGUAGCGGUGAAAUGCGUAGAUAUAUGGAGGAACACCAGUGGCGAAAGCGGCUCUCUGNUCUGUCACUGACGCUGAGGCUNGAAAGCGUGGGUAGCGAACAGGAUUAGAUACCCUGGUAGUNCACGCCGUAAACGAUGAGUGCUAGGUGUUAGGCCCUUUCCGGGGCUUAGUGCCGGAGCUAACGCAAUAAGCACUCCGCCUGGGGAGUACGACCGCAAGGUUGAAACUCAAAGGAAUUGACGGGGGCCCGCACAAGCGGUGGAGCAUGUGGUUUAAUUCGAAGCAACGCGAAGAACCUUACCAGGUCUUGACAUCCCGAUGCUAUUCUUAGAGAUAGGAAGUUACUUCGGUACAUCGGAGACAGGUGGUGCAUGGUUGUCGUCAGCACGUGUCGUGAGAUGUUGGGUUAAGUCCCGCAACGAGCGCAACCUUUAUUGUUAGUUGCCAUCAUUAAGUUGGGCACUCUAGCGAGACUGCCGGUAAUAAACCGGAGGAAGGUGGGGAUGACGUCAAAUCAUCAUGCCCCUUAUGACCUGGGCUACACACGUGCUACAAUGGUCGGUACAACGAGUUGCGAGCCGGUGACGGCAAGCUUAUCUCUGAAAGCCGAUCUCAGUUCGGGUUGGAGGCUGCAACUCGCCUCCAUGAAGUCGGAAUCGCUAGUAAUCGCGGAUCAGCACGCCGCGGUGAAUACGUUCUCGGGCCUUGUACAC
rnacentral:rRNA from 1 species